GGUUAAGCGACUAAGCGUACACGGUGGAUGCCCUGGCAGUCAGAGGCGAUGAAGGACGUGCUAAUCUGCGAUAAGCGUCGGUAAGGUGAUAUGAACCGUUAUAACCGGCGAUUUCCGAAUGGGGAAACCCAGUGUGUUUCGACACACUAUCAUUAACUGAAUCCAUAGGUUAAUGAGGCGAACCGGGGGAACUGAAACAUCUAAGUACCCCGAGGAAAAGAAAUCAACCGAGAUUCCCCCAGUAGCGGCGAGC
rnacentral:rRNA from 1 species